rnacentral:rRNA from 1 species
AGUCACUGACAUUAGAUACCCGGGUAGUCCAGGGUGUAAACGCUGCAGACUUGGUGUUGGAAGUCCUUUGGGGGCAUUCAGUGCCGGAGAGAAGUUGUUAAGUCUGCUACUUGGGAGUACGUCCGCAAGGAUGAAACUUAAAGGAAUUGGCGGGGAGCACCGCAACGGGAGGAGCGUGCGGUUUAAUUGGAUUCAACACCGUAAAACUCACCAGGGAAGACUGUUACAUGAAAGCCGAGAUGAAGACUCUGCUAGAUUUUCAG